UCCUUAUAUACACGGUGUAACAUGAGGAAACCGAAUAAUUUUAACCACGCAUUUCUGAGGUCAAAAGAAGGAAAGAAUGUAACACGAGUUUAGGUCAAUUUCGCCAAAAAAAAUUUUUUUUGGUUUGUUUUUUAAAAUUUUUGAAUGUAUUUGUACAUAAAUAAUAAAUCUUAUUGGUAAAUUUGUUACUUAAAUUGAUUUUUACAUGUUUUUUUUCGUAAAACCUUCUUUUUGCAAAGUGUUACUUGUCACUUUUUGACAUCUAUCAAUAAAGAUAUCGUCGGUACUACGUCCCAUAGCAGCAACAUCACCAUCAAAAAGGCCUUUUACAUUAUGUAACAACAAAAACUUGUUUAUUUUGAAAUUAAUAUUAUCUCUGAAUCUAGGCGUUUUUAAAAAAAAGUUUAUAGGACAUUUUUGUUUCUAAAUAUGAUCAGGAAUACGCUGUUAAAAUUAUUCGGUUUACUCAUGUUACACCGUGUAU